UACGGGGGGGGCUAGCGUUGUUCGGAAUUACUGGGCGUAAAGGGCGCGUAGGCGGCCUACUAAGUCGGACGUGAAAUCCCUCGGCUCAACCGGGGAACUGCCUUCGAUACUGCGGGUCUCGAGUCCGGGAGAGGUGAGUGGAAUUCCUAGUGUAGAGGUGAAAUUCGUAGAUAUUCGCAAGAACACCAGUGGCGAAGGCGGCUCACUGGCCCGGUACUGACGCUGAGGUGCGAAAGCGUGGGGAGCAAACAGG
rnacentral:rRNA from 1 species